rnacentral:rRNA from 1 species
UGGGGAAUUUUGCACAAUGGGGGGAACCUUGAUGCAGCGACGCCGCGUGAGGGAUAGAGGCCUUCGGGUUGUGAACCUCUUUCGCUCGUGUGCAAGCCGCUAUUUGGGUAGUGGUGAGUGUAGCGGGUAAAGAAGCGCCGGCUAACUACGUGCCAGCAGCCGCGGUAAUACGUAGGGCGCGAGCGUUGUCCGGAUUUAUUGGGCGUAAAGGGCUUGUAGGCGGUUUGUCGCGCCUGUCGUGUAAUCCUCUGGCUUAACUGGGGGUGUGCGGUGGGUACGGGCAGGCUUGAGUGCGGUAGGGGAGAUUGGAAUUCCUGGUGUAGCGGUGGAAUGCGCAGAUAUCAGGAGGAACACCGGUGGCGAAGGCGGGUCUCUGGGCCGUUACUGACGCUGAGGAGCGAAAGCGUGGGGAGCGAACAGG